AGAGUUUGAUUCUGGCUCAGGAUGAACGCUAGCUACAGGCUUAACACAUGCAAGCGAGGGGCAGCAUUGGAGUAGCAAUACUUCAGAUGGCGACCGGCGCACGGGUGAGUAACACGUAUCCAACCUGCCGCUUACUCGGGGAUAGCCUUUCGAAAGAAAGAUUAAUACCCGAUGGUAUAAAGAGUUCGCAUGUUCUCUUUAUUAAAGAAUUUCGGUAAGCGAUGGGGAUGCGUUCCAUUAGAUAGUUGGCGGGGUAACGGCCCACCAAGUCUACGAUGGAUAGGGGUUCUGAGAGGAAGGUCCCCCACAUUGGAACUGAGACACGGUCCAAACUCCUACGGGAGGCAGCAGUGAGGAAUAUUGGUCAAUGGACGAGAGUCUGAACCAGCCAAAGUAGCGUGAAGGAUGACUGCCCUAUGGGUUGUAAACUUCUUUUAUAAGGGAAUAAAGUGAGGGACGUGUCCCUUUUUGUAUGUACCUUAUGAAUAAGGAUCGGCUAACUCCGUGCCAGCCGCCGC
rnacentral:rRNA from 1 species